UAAGAAAGGGGUAGAUUAAGGGAAUCUGAUCAAGAACACACUUUUAUCUUUAUGAAGGAGAUGGGGAAAACCCCCAUACUCUCUUAAGAGAUUACAAAACGUCCAAGACACAUCCUUAUAUAGGCUUUACAUCAUUGCAACUCAUAAACCUAUAUGUGAUGGCUAUAAUUAACUUAAGGGAAUGGAUGGUGUAGAUGAGAUGGUAAUAUCUGAUCACUUUAAUUCAAACAAGGUAAGCUGGCGCCUGAUCUCUGAUUGGCUCUCCUUAGGCUCCUCUUCAUCUUCCCAAGUUACUGUCCAGAUUCAUAGUCAAGGCUGCUCUUUCUUUCCAGCAACAGCCAGCCUGUUUCUUUACUAAAGUAGCCAAUCACACUCCUAAGGGAUCUUAUUGAUACUGCUUUGAUGCCUUAGGAUCAGAACCUUAUCCCUUCGUCCAGCACACUCUAAUGCUGCCCUAUUCUUGCACAGACUUAGUACAAGCUUCCCGAGAUGUCAGGCUGCGCCCUAUUUUCGCACCAACUUCAUAUCUUCUUAAAUGGUCAAGUUAUGCACUUUUGGGAUCGACCUGGUACGUACGGAUCCGUACGGUCCGUACACGUCCGUACCAAAUCCGUACUACCUCACCCUAACAUUGCACACUCACCCAUUUGCUCCUCAACACUCUUCUAAGUCUCUCCUAGACUUUUCCCUUGCUUAGAACAUCCCUCAUAUCACUUCUGAACACCUUUAGACUCCUCAUCACUCUUGAUAGGCAAUCUCUAAAGCUCUUGCCCUAUCUUUGUACAAGAUCCAUCUCAACUCAACACCUUUAUCUCCUCCAU
rnacentral:lncRNA from 1 species